CCUACGGGGGGCAGCAGUGAGGAAUAUUGGUCAAUGGGCUUACGCCUGAACCAGCCAAGUCGCGUGAGGGAAGACUGCCCUAUGGGUUGUAAACUUCUUUUAUAAAGGAAUAAAGUGAGGCACGUGUGCCUUUUUGUAUGUACUUUAUGAAUAAGGAUCGGCUAACUCCGUGCCAGCAGCCGCGGUAAUACGGAGGAUCCGAGCGUUAUCCGGAUUUAGUGGGUUUAAAGGGAGCGUAGAUGGGUUGUUAAGUCAGUUGUGAAAGUUUGCGGCUCAACCGUAAAAUUGCAAUUGAUACUGGCAGUCGUGAGUACAGUUGAGGUAGGCGGAAUUCGUGGUGUAGCGGUGAAAUGCUUAGAUAUCACGAAGAACUCCGAUUGCGAAGGCAGCUUACUAAACUGCCACUGACAUUGAUGCUCGAAAGUGUGGGUAUCAAACAGGAUUAGAUACCCCGGUAGUC
rnacentral:rRNA from 1 species